rnacentral:lncRNA from 1 species
GAAGAGAGAUUUCAUAUCUGAUUGACGGAGGAAGAGGAAGACAUCUCGACGCCUAGUCUAAGAGAAUGGAAAUAAGACGACUUGAGGAAGGGAGGCUGGGCUAGAUGUGAAUGCCCUUAGAAGCGAUACGGGGAUCUCAUACUCAUAGAUGGAAAAGGGUGAAGGGUAACGGUUGGUAAAACACGUCCCAUCGGAGUAAAGGAUCAUUGAAUGAAAAGCUGCCACAGAGGACGGUUCAAGUUUGAAUUCACACGGCAACGGUAAAAGAACAUUAAAUGUUUGUACAAAGGCACUAAGAGUUUUCUAUAGUUCACCCAAGGAGAGCAUUAAUGGCCGCAAUCGCUCGCUGCUGAAUCUCAUUGGCUAAAUCCAAGGUUCUU